rnacentral:snRNA from 1 species
GGAUGUGAGGGCAAUCUGACUUUGAGAUCUGUCACCCCACUGAUCCUCAGGGUUGAUUCUGGCUGGCUAGGUGGGUGGCCCCCUUCCUCAUUUAUCACUCCAUGUGCAGGGUCUCCCAAAGGUUGUGUGUUCAAGGUCAAAGAGGACAAGCUUUUCCUGGAAUAGAGAUGGAUGAUCUGCGGUCUAGGGCAUAUGAGUAAGCUGAGUUCCCCUCCUAUAACCUCCAAAUAAGCUCUCAGGCCCAUUUGUAGGAGAAAAGUAGGGUAGUCAAGGCUUCCAAGUCUCCAGACACAUCCAAAUGAGCCGCUGCAUGUGACAGUCUGCCUUUCU